ACGCUGGCGGCGUGCUUAACACAUGCAAGUCGAACGGAAAGGCUCCUUGCUUGCAAGGGGUACUCGAGUGGCGAACGGGUGAGUAACACGUGGGUGAUCUGCCUUGCACUUCGGGAUAAGCCUGGGAAACUGGGUCUAAUACCGGAUAGGACCAUGCUUUAGUGUGUGUGGUGGAAAGUUUUUUCGGUGCAAGAUGAGCCCGCGGCCUAUCAGCUUGUUGGUGGGGUAAUGGCCUACCAAGGCGACGACGGGUAGCCGGCCUGAGAGGGUGUACGGCCACAUUGGGACUGAGACACGGCCCAGACUCCUACGGGAGGCAGCAGUGGGGAAUAUUGCACAAUGGGCGCAAGCCUGAUGCAGCGACGCCGCGUGGGGGAUGACGGCCUUCGGGUUGUAAACUCCUUUCGCUAGGGAAGAAGCCACUGUGUGGUGACGGUACCUGGAUAAGAAGCACCGGCUAACUACGUGCCAGCAGCCGCGGUAAUACGUAGGGUGCGAGCGUUGUCCGGAAUUACUGGGCGUAAAGAGCUCGUAGGUGGUUUGUCGCGUCGUCUGUGAAAUCCCGGGGCUUAACUUCGGGCGUGCAGGCGAUACGGGCAUAACUAGAGUGCUGUAGGGGAGACUGGAAUUCCUGGUGUAGCGGUGAAAUGCGCAGAUAUCAGGAGGACACCGAUGGCGAAGGCAGGUCUCUGGGCAGUUACUGACGCUGAGGAGCGAAAGCAUGGGUAGCGAACAGGAU
rnacentral:rRNA from 1 species